AAGUCGAGCGAACGGACGAGAAGCUUGCUUCUCUGAUGUUAGCGGCGGACGGGUGAGUAACACGUGGAUAACCUACCUAUAAGACUGGGAUAACUUCGGGAAACCGGAGCUAAUACCGGAUAAUAUUUUGAACCGCAUGGUUCAAAAGUGAAAGACGGUCUUGCUGUUACUUAUAGAUGGAUCCGCGCUGCAUUAGCUAGUUGGUAAGGUAACGGCUUACCAAGGCAACGAUGCAUAGCCGACCUGAGAGGGUGAUCGGCCACACUGGAACUGAGACACGGUCCAGACUCCUACGGGAGGCAGCAGUAGGGAAUCUUCCGCAAUGGGCGAAAGUCUGACGGAGCAACGCCGCGUGAGUGAUGAAGGUCUUCGGAUCGUAAAACUCUGUUAUUAGGGAAGAACAUAUGUGUAAGUAACUGUGCACAUCUUGACGGUACCUAAUCAGAAAGCCACGGCUAACUACGUGCCAGCAGCCGCGGUAAUACGUAGGUGGCAAGCGUUAUCCGUAAUUAUUGGGCGUAAAGCGCGCGUAGGCGGUUUUUUAAGUCUGAUGUGAAAGCCCACGGCUCAACCGUGGAGGGUCAUUGGAAACUGGAAAACUUGAGUGCAGAAGAGGAAAGUGGAAUUCCAUGUGUAGCGGUGAAAUGCGCAGAGAUAUGGAGGAACACCAGUGGCGAAGGCGACUUUCUGGUCUGUAACUGACGCUGAUGUGCGAAAGCGUGGGGAUCAAACAGGAUUAGAUACCCUGGUAGUCCACGCCGUAAACGAUGAGUGCUAAGUGUUAGGGGGUUUCCGCCCCUUAGUGCUGCAGCUAAC
rnacentral:rRNA from 1 species